rnacentral:rRNA from 1 species
UACGUAGGGUGCAAGCGUUGUCCGGAAUUAUUGGGCGUAAAGAGCUCGUAGGCGGCUCGUCACGUCGGCUGUGAAAACCCGGGGCUCAACCCCGGGCCUGCAGUCGAUACGGGCGAGCUAGAGUUCGGCAGGGGAGACUGGAAUUCCUGGUGUAGCGGUGAAAUGCGCAGAUAUCAGGAGGAACACCGGUGGCGAAGGCGGGUCUCUGGGCCGAUACUGACGCUGAGGCACGAAAGCUAGGGGAGCAAACAGG